UACGAGGGGGGCAAGCGUUGUUCGGAAUUAUUGGGCGUAAAGGGCGCGUAGGCGGUUUGACAAGUCUGAUGUGAAAUCUAUGGGCUCAACCCAUAGCCUGCAUUAGAAACUGUCGGGCUUGAGUAUGGGAGAGGUGAGUGGAAUUUCCGGUGUAGCGGUGAAAUGCGUAGAUAUCGGAAGGAACACCUGUGGCGAAAGCGGCUCACUGGACCAUAACUGACGCUGAGGCGCGAAAGCUAGGGAGCAAACAGG
rnacentral:rRNA from 1 species